rnacentral:lncRNA from 1 species
UCGGGGUAAUGACCUUUUUAUUCUUCGUGACAUGACCCACUUUUUUUGGGAUUAAAUCACAAUUUCAAUUAGUACAAACAUGAUAUGAACAUGAAUGUUUUUCUUCUAUGUAGCAUUUUCUAUUUUUAUUUUCAAAGAUCAGCUGUUUUGCAUGUAAGCCUUCAUUGUUGAAGGCCGUACGGUGACCUAUAUUUGUUAAUUUAUGUGUCAUUU